AACGCACAUUGCGCCCCUUGGUAUUCCGAGGGGCAUGCCUGUUCGAGCGUCAUUAUAACCACUCAAGCCUAGCUUGGUAUUGGGGUUCGCGUGCCCGCGGCCCUUAAAAUCAGUGGCGGUGCCGUCUGGCUCUAAGCGUAGUAAUUCUCUCGCUAUAGAGUCCUGGCGGUUACUUGCCAGAACCCCCCACAUUCUUAGGUUGACCUCGGAUCAGGUAGGGAUACCCGCUGAACUUAA
rnacentral:misc_RNA from 1 species